GACGAACGCUGGCGGCGUGCUUAACACAUGCAAGUCGAGCGGUAAGGCCCUUUCGGGGGUACACGAGCGGCGAACGGGUGAGUAACACGUGGGUGACCUGCCCUCAGCUCUGGGAUAAGCCUGGGAAACCGGGUCUAAUACUGGAUAUGACUCCAUGACGCAUGUUGUGGGGUGGAAAGCCUUGUGCGGCUGAGGAUGGGCCCGCGGCCUAUCAGCUUGUUGGUGGGGUGANGGCCUACCAAGGCGACGACGGGUAGCCGGCCUGAGAGGGCGACCGGCCACACUGGGACUGAGACACGGCCCAGACUCCUACGGGAGGCAGCAGUGGGGAAUAUUGGACAAUGGGCGAAAGCCUGAUCCAGCGACGCCGCGUGGGUGAAGAAGGCCUGCGGGUUGUAAAGCCCUUUCAGUGGGGAAGAAAAGCCUCGACCUAACACGUCGGGGUCUUGACGUAACCCAUAGAAGAAGCACCGGCUAACUCUGUGCCAGCCGCCGCCGUAAG
rnacentral:rRNA from 1 species